rnacentral:rRNA from 1 species
UACGUAGGGGGCAAGCGUUGUCCGGAAUCAUUGGGCGUAAAGCGCGUGUAGGCGGCUUGAUAAGUCUGCUCUGAAAGCCCGGGGCUCAACCCUGGGAGGCGGGUGGAUACUGUCGAGCUCGAGUCCGGAAGAGGCGAGUGGAAUUCCUGGUGUAGCGGUGAAAUGCGCAGAUAUCGGGAGGAACACCAGUGGCGAAGGCGGCACUCUGGGCCGGUACUGACGCUGAGGAGCGAAAGCGUGGGGAGCGAACAGG